AUGGCUCCGCCGUCGUGGAUCAUCCUGGGCGCCGAGACGCGCGUGUCGGAGCAGCAGGACGCGGACCUCUCCCUUGACCUCGCCGCGCCGCCGCGCGUCUCCGUCCUCACCGUGCCACGGCGCGUGUCCCCCGUCCAGGCCGACCCCACCAGCACCGCCUGCCCCUGGGUGGUCACCGCCGACCCUGCCUCCGGCCUCCUCCUCCUCCGCGCCCCGCCACCCCCUCCCACUCACUCUCCAACUCCCCCGCCGACCUUCCGCAACGGCGUGCUGGUCCCCGCUGUUGGCUACAUCACGCGCCACCCGCCGACCUACUUCGUCUGCGACGUCGCCUCCGCCACCGCCUUCCGCCUCCCGCAACCCGGCCGCGACCCUAGCGGGCUACCUACGGAGAUCAACGCGCUGAACCUCGGCGUCGUCGCUGCGCCCGGAGCCGGAGGCGGCGCCCAGCGCUACAUGGUCGUCGAGUUCCGCUACAUGUUUGCAGACGAGCACGCCACGCUCCUCUGCUUCUCGUCCGACACCGGCGAGUGGGUGUGGAAGCCGGUGCACAACCCCCUGGGGCGCUGGAUUUGGGGCAGAGACGGCGUCGUCGCCCACGACGGCAAGCUCUGGUGGGUGGAUCUCGCCGGGGGCUCAUCUUCUGCGACCCUUUCGCGGAUGCGCCGGUGCUGGACAUCGUCCCGCUCCCGGAAAGCGACCGCCAUCUGCCUCGUGCCUCGUGCGCCCACUGCGCCGGGAGAGCGGUGGCCCACCGCCGGUUCGUGCAGGUGA
rnacentral:rRNA from 1 species